UGAACGCUAGCUACAGGCUUAACACAUGCAAGUCGAGGGGCAGCAUGGUCUUAGCUUGCUAAGGCCGAUGGCGACCGGCGCACGGGUGAGUAACACGUAUCCAACCUGCCGUCUACUCUUGGACAGCCUUCUGAAAGGAAGAUUAAUACAAGAUGGCAUCAUGAGUCCGCAUGUUCACAUGAUUAAAGGUAUUCCGGUAGACGAUGGGGAUGCGUUCCAUUAGAUAGUAGGCGGGGUAACGGCCCACCUAGUCUUCGAUGGAUAGGGGUUCUGAGAGGAAGGUCCCCCACAUUGGAACUGAGACACGGUCCAAACUCCUACGGGAGGCAGCAGUGAGGAAUAUUGGUCAAUGGGCGAGAGCCUGAACCAGCCAAGUAGCGUGAAGGAUGACUGCCCUAUGGGUUGUAAACUUCUUUUAUAAAGGAAUAAAGUCGGGUAUGGAUACCCGUUUGCAUGUACUUUAUGAAUAAGGAUCGGCUAACUCCGUGCCAGCAGCCGCGGUAAUACGGAGGAUCCGAGCGUUAUCCGGAUUUAUUGGGUUUAAAGGGAGCGUAGAUGGAUGUUUAAGUCAGUUGUGAAAGUUUGCGGCUCAACCGUAAAAUUGCAGUUGAUACUGGAUAUCUUGAGUGCAGUUGAGGCAGGCGGAAUUCGUGGUGUAGCGGUGAAAUGCUUAGAUAUCACGAAGAACUCCGAUUGCGAAGGCAGCCUGCUAAGCUGCAACUGACAUUGAGGCUCGAAAGUGUGGGUAUCAAACAGGAUUAGAUACCCUGGUAGUCCACACGGUAAACGAUGAAUACUCGCUGUUUGCGAUAUACUGCAAGCGGCCAAGCGAAAGCGUUAAGUAUUCCACCUGGGGAGUACGCCGGCAACGGUGAAACUCAAAGGAAUUGACGGGGGCCCGCACAAGCGGAGGAACAUGUGGUUUAAUUCGAUGAUACGCGAGGAACCUUACCCGGGCUUAAAUUGCAGAUGAAUUACGGUGAAAGCCGUAAGCCGCAAGGCAUCUGUGAAGGUGCUGCAUGGUUGUCGUCAGCUCGUGCCGUGAGGUGUCGGCUUAAGUGCCAUAACGAGCGCAACCCUUGUUGUCAGUUACUAACAGGUUCCGCUGAGGACUCUGACAAGACUGCCAUCGUAAGAUGUGAGGAAGGUGGGGAUGACGUCAAAUCAGCACGGCCCUUACGUCCGGGGCUACACACGUGUUACAAUGGGGGGUACAGAGGGUCGCUACCACGCGAGUGGAUGCCAAUCCCCAAAACCUCUCUCAGUUCGGACUGGAGUCUGCAACCCGACUCCACGAAGCUGGAUUCGCUAGUAAUCGCGCAUCAGCCACGGCGCGGUGAAUACGUUCCCGGGCCUUGUACACACCGCCCGUCAAGCCAUGGGAGCCGGGGGUACCUGAAGUGCGUAACCGCGAGGAGCGCCCUAGGGUAAAACUGGUGACUGGGGCUAAG
rnacentral:rRNA from 1 species